rnacentral:lncRNA from 1 species
GGGUAGAGGAAAACGAGGCAAGAUGCUGAGAAAAAGUCAUCUCCCACUCUGCCCUUCUCUGGCAAAUCAGUGUCCUCUUGUGGGAGGCGGUGGGCAGCGACACUCCUGUUGGACGUCAGUGCUCUCGGGAUGGGCCCGGCCACCCCGGAGCAGAACUCACUUAGGGCCUGGUGCCCCUGUGCCCAGUUCUCAGAACUCCGGAGUGCCCCAUUCAUAACCUGCUACCCCGUUUGUAACCUGCAGCUCCCCUCCUUCCUCUCCUCCCGGUCUUCAGGUGCUUUUACCAAAGCACCCCCAGCUCCCCUCCCCACUCUCAAACCCUCCUCCUCCUCCCUCCCCUCUCUCAGUUCCCUGUUUGCAGGAUCUCCUCCUGCCCAUGCUCCAGCCCGGGUCCCCCCACUCUCAUCUCCAAUUCUGCUUCACGGGCCGUGACAGCAGGCAGGCCAUGGACUGCUCUCAGCAGUUUGAUCAAUGGACUAAGGAGAGCACUCCUACGAGAGUGAAAAAGUCAAAUGUGCCUGAGAUUCAAAUGGGGAGCUCUCAAAGCUAUGGAUUGCAAGAGUCAACACCGCCUCAAAAGUACAAGGCCGGCCGGGUGCGGUGGCUCACACCUGUAAUCCCAGCACUUUGGGAGGCUGAGGCGGGUGGAUCACCUGAGGUCAGGAGUUCAAGACCAGCCUGACCAACAUGGUGAAAUCCCGUCUCUAUUAAAAACACAAAACAAAUUAGCCAGGUGUGGUGGUGCAUGCUUGUAGUCUCAGCUACUCGGGAGGCUGAGGCAGGGGGAGCACUUGAACCCGGGAGGUGGAGGUUGCAGUGAGCCGAGAUUGCGCCAUUGCACUCCAGCCUGGGCAACAGAGUGAGACCCUGCCUCAAAAAAAUAAAAAAAGUACGAGGCCCGGUUUAAAUGUAGGAGGAAUCUGGUGAGCGAGUUUCACUCUGAUGCAACAGAAAAGCCAGGCCAAGCCUUGGCUGUGCCUGGUCUUGGCCAGGGAGUCACAGGCAGGGUCUGCUGGUUUCAGUGUCAGGGGCACAUCCCCAGGACCAUGUCUGAGACGGGAAGUGCCUUGAUGGAAAACUGAUACCUUUUUCUUUCCAAGUAACUUUAGAACAUGUCGCUUCAAAUAUAACUAAUAUCCUGAUUUCAAUGGACUUGCGUAGAAGGAAAUGCAAGUUCAUUUGCCAGUGGGGGGUGAGGACUGGGAGAGUGGGGAGCAGGGUGGGGAAGAGGGGAGCAUUCCAUAAGCCACAAGAGCCUGGACACCUCCAGCCUUCAAUAAAUAGCAUUUGAAUUUGC